rnacentral:misc_RNA from 1 species
UUUCUUUCACUUUCUCGCUCUUUCUUCUCUAAAACCCAAGCAGACAAAUUAAAAUCUUCAUAGUCUCCUCAUUUUAAGACCCCUUCUCUCUCUCUCUCCUUUUUUUUCUAUAUCUCACUCGACGAACACUCUCUGUCUUUUGAUUCUUGAUUCUGAGCGGCCCAUGAUGGACAAUGGUUUCUCUUCCCCUCGAAACGAUGCGUUUCCUGCUGGUCUCCGUGUUCUUGUUGUCGAUGACGAUCCCAUCUGGUUGAAAAUUCUUGAAAAGAUGCUCA